rnacentral:lncRNA from 1 species
GCUAGUAAAAUGCUACUCUAAAGGCCUUGCCAACUAUUGUGCACGAAGAUGCGUGGUUGCCACAGAUCUCUUUGUGUAUUUCCUCCAAUAUGUCCUUGCCAUCCUCUCAUUUGACACAUUUCAUGAGUACUCCUAAGGAUGCACCUCUUCUGUGUAGCUUGUCUCCAACGAGUACGUAGCCUUUGCAUCACAGUAAGACUUGUUCUGCUUGCGUUUUGUCUGAGGGUAGUUUGUGCUCUUUGAUAUAGUCAAUACAUGGUGUUCUCCAAU